CCUACGGGUGGCAGCAGUGGGGAAUAUUGCACAAUGGGGGAAACCCUGAUGCAGCGACGCCGCGUGAGUGAAGAAGUAAUUCGGUAUGUAACGCUCUAUCAGCAGGGAAGAAAAUGACGGUACCUGAGUAAGAAGCCCCGGCUAACUACGUGCCAGCAGCCGCGGUAAUACGUAGGGGGCAAGCGUUAUCCGGAUUUACUGGGUGUAAAGGGAGCGUAGUCGGCAGUGCAAGGCUGGAGUGAACGGCGGGGGCUCAACCCCCGGACUGCGCUGCAAACUGUACGGCUGGAGUGCGGGAGAGGUAAGUGGAAUUCCUAGUGUAGCGGUGAAAUGCGUAGAUAUUAGGAGGAACACCAGUGGCGAAGGCGGCUUACUGGACUGUAACUGACGUUGAGGCUCGAAAGCGUGGGGAGCAAACAGGAUUAGAUACCCGGGUAGUC
rnacentral:rRNA from 1 species